CAGUAGCCGCGGGAAUACGUAGGGUGCAAGCGUUAAUCGGAAUUACUGGGCGUAAAGCGUGCGCAGGCGGUUUGUUAAGACAGAUGUGAAAUCCCCGGGCUCAACCUGGGAACUGCAUUUGUGACUGGCAAGCUAGAGUGUGGCAGAGGGGGGUGGAAUUCCGCGUGUAGCAGUGAAAUGCGUAGAUAUGCGGAGGAACACCGAUGGCGAAGGCAGCCCCCUGGGCCAACACUGACGCUCAUGCACGAAAGCGUGGGGAGCAAACAGGAUUAGAUACCCCGGUAGUCCCUGUCUCUUAUAA
rnacentral:rRNA from 1 species